GGGGGUGGCGGGCUAUGGCUCAGCGACAGAGCACCUGCUUUUCAUGCAGAGGGUCCCAGGUUCAAAUCCUGCCAUCUCUA